GUCAGUAACUCAUGGCUAAAGCCACUGAGCUUGUAAGAGCAAUUGAAGCAAGCUGUACUGACCAGCCUAAGACUGUAAAGGUCUACGUUUUUGGAGUCACGACACCCUAGAAUGCGUAGCUAGUUCCAGGCUCUGUC
rnacentral:sRNA from 1 species